CGCGGAUGUUUGCUUGCUGAGCCGUUUUGAAAAGUGCGGAACUGGAUAAACUAAAAGCAUAUUAAUAAUUUCCACUAAUAUAAGUGUAACAGAUAAUCUGCUUAGUAACGCUUGUGGAACAAGUGCCCGAAUUCAACAGUCAAACCAGAAUGAUAUGGUUACGUGCAAAUAUCGUUAUGAUUGCGUUGAUGGUAACGACCUGUGUUAGUGAAGACAGAUAUU